rnacentral:lncRNA from 1 species
UGGGACACGACCUAGUAAGGUAGCAUAUAGCUAAAUUCAAAUCUACGCAACUGUACAACGGGAUUCAAUCACUAACAACAAUCCUGUUAAGCCUCACUCUGUUUUUCGUAUAAAUUUCAAACAGCAGGGUGAGUGUAGUUCAAUCCAGGUUGACAGUACGACAUUUCUCCAGCCACGUUUGAGCUCUGAAUCAAGCUUCACCGGGGACCAACAAUGACUCAAGUUCUUCUCGACGCUGCUCAAGCUCCUGCAAUUGUUAGUUUGAUGUAACAUUGGUGAUCCUCACAAAGAGCAUGAUACAAACAAAUGGAACAAAAGCCAGAAACUCAGUAAUGGAGGUGGCGUAGGGGACUGCUGGUAGGAACUUUGCAUUUAACUAAUAAGACCGACAGCUCAAAGCAGCAAAAUUUAAUUCCCAUGUAUAUGGUAAGAUUUCGAGCAUCUUUUACCAUAUAAUGAGGGUUUUAAAUCUGAUAAGGGUAAUUCCUACUUCCUUUUUAUUCCAAUUGUCGAUAUUAACUUCAAAGGAACAUCAACAGCACAGCAAGAAAUAAGGAAUAAAUUUCUACAUUACUUAGGACUCGAGAUAUCGAGCAAAUUCUAUUGCUAAACAGGAGCGGAAAAUAAACAAAAGAUAUAUACAAUAAUAGAAGGAAAAAAAAAAAACAAAUAUACAAGUAAACAACCUUGAUAGUGAACUACUAAAACCUUAUAAGGGUGAUGAUACUCUUUCUUAUUGUUCACUCAAACAUCUCAAUGGGGGCUAUUACGUUCAUAACCUAAUGCAGAAAGACAUUACCUCAAGAUCCUUUAUUGCUUGCUCCCUGGUGAGUUCUUUUUUCUGGCGAGCGCGUUUCACCAUGCCAAUGCAGAACAUUCCCUAAAGAGGCAUUUAAAGUUCAGACUCUAUGUUAGUGCUUAACGUACCUAAAACUCAUCGUAAGACUCUGAAUCAACAGGCCACAUGCUAUGUUGAGAGGAAAAGGUUAUUAUUUCACUGUGUAAACAAAAUUACAAAAGCCAAAGACAUUUACUACUGACCGGAAUAUAAUCAUAAACUUACUGAUAUAAGGUAAACCACACCACAUGCAAGAAGUAGGUAGCUAGCAAUGCUCUGAAGAAGAUAAAGCUCUGAAUGAUCCUUUAAAUACUCAGGGUAAGCUCGGGUCAUCACUGCAACACUGGAGAAAAUAGAUGAGCACAAGCCACAAAUGCAACAACCUAGAAGCAGUUCUUGAAUAUAAGAACAGAACUGGAAAUGGGGCUUGUCAGUGUAAUCUCCAGAUGAAUGCUACAGAUUUCUUGCUAGUCACUAUCCCAUAAGCAAUAACACAGUUGAAAGCUUAGUCUAGUCACCCAACAGGAAAACACAGGGAAACUUUGGGUGAUUUUGGAGAUUCGAUAGAAAUCUAAAUCUGGAAGAUGAAUAUAACCAACAUAACUAGGUAUGAGUAAUCUAAAACUACAUACGAGCAUAACCAAGUAGAAGUUCAACCAAAUGAGUCGCUCAGGAAAUAAAUGUAUAGCAAAAGUUGGACGUACAAGAUCUGCAGCAUUCCCCUGCCUGCCCAAUACUCCAAGACCUGCAACAUGUUCGACAGUUAACAUAACAUAUGAAUUUGAACACAACAAAUAACAGCUGGAGUGUUUUUCAAAUACUAUCAAGAAAAGGGUACUAUGACUGAACUUCCAUUCCCAUCAUAUUAAAUUAUUUUAUGCUUUAAAAGUCAAUAUUAAAGAAAACUGAAUAUGGGGAAUGAAACAGUAUCCAUCAGCUACAGAUACGUGACACAGAUUUUCUUUUUUUAUUUUCCACUAUCUGCAGACAACUAUUUAAACAGUUUUCGAGAAAGCUACAUGGAAAGUUUAGCUAUACAUCCCUUCCGAAGGCCAAGCACAAAACAGGCAACCGAUGAGCAACUGUUAGGGAAACCCGUAAAACGUCCAACUCCCAAGCUCUAUUAAAUCAUAACACUUAGGCUCCAUGAGUACAAAAGUUGUGCUAAAGACUAUCUGAACCUCCAACAUUCGAGAAACAUUUAUGUGCUUAAUUUUUAAACAAGAAUAUGAUAGAGAUGUGUCGGGAGGGCCGGUAUUUUCGGCAUGAGAAGGGAGCAAUCGCAGCAACUUCAGCGGGCUUGUUGGAAUUAAUCAAUUAGCUUUGGAUUAUUUAGUUAAUUAGUUAUUUUUCAAACCAACACAGAAUAUGUGCUUUUCCAAACCUGCAAGCUUUCUUCAAGCAAUGAUGUCAUGGGGGAAGAAUUCUUCGAUUUGGGGCUUGAGCUAAAGAACAUGUUAAACAUCAGAGUUCAAAUUAAAAAACCUCUAGAAUUGAAAACCAUCUCAAGUUACCAAGUUUUCUUAAUUAGAAAGCAGGAGGACAGAAAAUGCAGAUAUUAUAUACUAGGUGAGUAAAUUCUAGAAAGACGCCGCGGAUAACACAGAGCAUUAAUUACCCUAAAACCAAGAAAUUCAAUUCCCAGCAGUGUAAAACUUCGUCAUUUGAAAUCGUUAAUGCAUACACACCAAAUACAGAACUAAAAAGCAGCGAGAGAGAGAGAGAGAGAGAGCGAACCUUGGAGAACUUCAUGAUGAAUUCCCACUCGGUCUCGGCGACCACCACAAACACGGCAAUAACCACCGCGUAACACCGGAAUAUCCCAUCGAAUAUCUGCACUAGAUCAAACGAAUUCAAAAUGUGCUGAACCCACUCGUUAUCGAACGAAUUGAAAUUGCAGAGGAAGAGGAGCAAAUACAUCAGAUACGUUCUUGAAAGAUUGGAUGGCGGAGAGGAUGUUGACAGCGAUGCAGAGAAUGGCGGCGAGAGCAGUGAUGACGCUGAAGAAUCGGCAGGUUAUCAAGAAGGGAUCGUGCCUCGAACGGACCCGGGGGGCGGGGGAUGGCGGGUCGGGGUCGUGCGAGCUCUGCGCCUCCAUUUUCNCUUAAGGGGGGUGUAUUGGUUGUGGAGUUUAAUAGAUUUCUAUGGAAUUUAAAAGUCUGGGUGUAUUCGUUCCAGACUUUUAAAAGUCUGCAGAAAUCUGGGUGUAUUCGUUCAAGACUUUUAAAAGUCCAUAUAAAUUUGGGUGUAUUCGUUUCAGACUUUUUAAAAUCCAUACAAAUCUAGGUGUAUUCGUUAUUCCAUUGACUUCAAAUCCGGAAUGACUUUCAUGGAUUUCAUCCAAAAAAUACACACAACGAAAUCCGGCCAAGAACCACGAGAAUUGAAAUCCAUGGAGUUUGAGCGAGCGCUGAGUUCCAGCGCCCGCGGCCAAGAAGCCAGCGAGCGCUGGAACUCAGCCAUCGUUGAGAGUGUCCAGCCUAUGCUGGAUUUGAGCGGGCGCUGGAUUCCCUGUCUAUUGAUAGAGUUUUGUCUAUUGAGCGGGCGCUGGAUUUCCAUGCAAAGGUCCGAUAACCUAUUGACACAGCAUAGAUAGCAACAAUUAUGAUAAAUGAGAACAGAACUAAUUUCCAAAAGCUUCAAAUGCCAGCUCAAAUGAUGUUUUUUCUGUAUACCUUGCGAAAGUUCUCUGCAAGUCAGUCGGGCAACAAGUUAAAAUGAUGCUUUAGACACUUCCAGAUAAGAAUCUCGUCGUCUUACAUACUAUGUACGCCAUUCAAAUAUAUCAAACUUUAUAUGCAUAUUUUAAUAGCAAUCUCUGUAUGUAAGGGCAUGAUUUCCAUAGCCUACAACGAAUAUAAGGAUUCAACUGCAAACGAGUGUAGCUAAGAGAAAUAGCUCAAUCAACUGACAAAUUAAGUAACUGAAAACACAGCAAAUUCAGCAGCCAACACUAGCUGUCUCUAAAUCCUCUGGAACUCGAAUUAUAGUCAGCUAAUAACAGCUUUACCUGAUCAAUUGCUGAGGUGAGUUCCCUGUAAUUUGGCAGUCUAGUUCCUGAAAUAAAUUUAUGUAUGUAUAGUUGCUUCUAUCAAUAUAGAUUGGUAUAUUGUCCUGAAAUUAGUCAUGUGCGCGAGCUUCGUAUGAUCGAUCAUUCUGUAUAAUGCUGUAGUCACCUUUUUCGAGUUCCGCACGAACUGAACGAUAAUGCUAUAGUUGAUCUUUUGGAAUUGCACCGGCAUUCCAAAAGGUUGCUGGGUUUCCAGCGCUCGCUGGAACUCAGCGGUCGCUGGGUCUUUUCUAGCGGGCGCUGGUUCUCCGCGGGCGCUGGUUUCAUGGAAUUCAAUUCCAAAAUUAUCCCGUAAAGUCUUCGAAAAUCAGUGAAAAUCGGGGUGAAAUUCAACCACGAAUUCUUUGAAAGUCGUCUGGAAUCUAUGUGAAUUCCAUGGAAUUUAAAUUCCAUGGACUUUUUAAAGUCUGUGGAAAUCCACAACGAAUACACCCCCCUAAAAGUUGUCAUUUCUUUUUAUGGUAGUAAUUAAUUACAAGAUAAAAAACAGAAACGAGGCAAGUUAGUUUUUCGAUGCCAAAAAUUAACGAGAGCCAUCUUUAUUUUUAUAAUAGGUCACGCAUUUGAUUGCAAGUAUCAAUAAUUCAGCAUAUUUUAGAAAAAACGAUGAUUUUAAGUUUAUUAUUCUUAUCGAACAAACAUUAUGUAGCAAUGAUUCCUUGUGAUAUCUUGAGACCUCUGAAAAACAAAGAAUUGUUCAGGAAAGCUAAUAUAAAGAACCAACAAACAAGAUUGUUCUUCCAAGAAAAUGGGACACGACCUAGUAAGGUAGCAUAUAGCUAAAUUCAAAUCUACGCAACUGUACAACGGGAUUCAAUCACUAACAACAAUCCUGUUAAGCCUCACUCUGUUUUUCGUAUAAAUUUCAAACAGCAGGGUGAGUGUAGUUCAAUCCAGGUUGACAGUACGACAUUUCUCCAGCCACGUUUGAGCUCUGAAUCAAGCUUCACCGGGGACCAACAAUGACUCAAGUUCUUCUCGACGCUGCUCAAGCUCCUGCAAUUGUUAGUUUGAUGUAACAUUGGUGAUCCUCACAAAGAGCAUG